rnacentral:rRNA from 1 species
CACGUAGGGUGCAAGCGUUGUCCGGAAUUAUUGGGCGUAAAGAGCUCGUAGGCGGUUUGUCGCGUCUGCUGUGAAAACUCGGGGCUUAACCCCGGGCCUGCAGUGGGUACGGGCAGACUAGAGUGCGGUAGGGGAGACUGGAAUUCCUGGUGUAGCGGUGAAAUGCGCAGAUAUCAGGAGGAACACCGGUGGCGAAGGCGGGUCUCUGGGCCGUAACUGACGCUGAGGAGCGAAAGCGUGGGGAGCGAACAGG